rnacentral:rRNA from 1 species
GACGUAGGGCGCGAGCGUUGUCCGGAUUUAUUGGGCGUAAAGCGCGUGUAGGCGGCUAAGUAAGUCGGGCGUGAAAUCCCACGGCUCAACCGUGGAAGUGCACUCGAAACUGCAUAGCUAGAGUCCUGGAGAGGAAGGUGGAAUGCUUGGUGUAGAGGUGAAAUUCGUAGAUAUCAAGCGGAACACCGGUGGCGAAGGCGGCCUUCUGGACAGUGACUGACGCUGAGACGCGAAAGCGUGGGGAGCAAACAGG